UACGGAGGGAGCUAGCGUUGUUCGGAAAUACUGGGCGUAAAGCGCACGUAGGCGGCGCAGCAAGUCAGGGGUGAAAUCCCGGGGCUCAACCCCGGAACUGCCCUUGAAACUGCAGUGCUAGAAUCUUGGAGAGGCGAGUGGAAUUCCGAGUGUAGAGGUGAAAUUCGUAGAUAUUCGGAAGAACACCAGUGGCGAAGGCGACUCGCUGGACAAGUAUUGACGCUGAGGUGCGAAAGCGUGGGGAGCAAACAGGG
rnacentral:rRNA from 1 species